rnacentral:rRNA from 1 species
AAUCAACGCUGGCGGCGUGCCUCAGACAUGCAAGUCGAACGCGAAAGUUUCCUUCGGGAGAUGAGUAGAGUGGCGCACAGGUGAGUAACACGUGAGUAAUUUACCUCGGUGGGAAUACUAACCGGAAACGGUUGUUAAUACCGCAUAAUGCAGCGGCAUCAAUGAUGACAGUUGUUAAAGCGGGGGAUUGGAGCAAUCCGACCUCGCGCCUGAAGAGAAGCNCGCGGCAGAUUAGCUAGUUGGUAAGGUAAUGGCUUACCAAGGCGACGAUCUGUAACCGGCCUGAGAGGGCGGUCGGUCACACUGACACUGAAUAACGGGUCAGACUCCUACGGGAGGCAGCAGUCGGGAAUUUUGGGCAAUGGGCGCAAGCCUGACCCAG